rnacentral:rRNA from 1 species
GACGAACGCUGGCGGCGUGCUUAACACAUGCAAGUCGAACGGAAAGGCCCUGCUUUUGUGGGGUGCUCGAGUGGCGAACGGGUGAGUAACACGUGAGUAACCUGCCCUUGACUUUGGGAUAACUUCAGGAAACUGGGGCUAAUACCGGAUAGGAGCUCCUGCUGCAUGGUGGGGGUUGGAAAGUUUCGGCGGUUGGGGAUGGACUCGCGGCUUAUCAGCUUGUUGGUGGGGUAGUGGCUUACCAAGGCUUUGACGGGUAGCCGGCCUGAGAGGGUGACCGGCCACAUGGGGACUGAGAUACGGCCCAGACUCCUACGGGAGGCAGCAGUGGGGAAUAUUGCACAAUGGGCGGAAGCCUGAUGCAGCAACGCCGCGUGCGGGAGGACGGCCUUCGGGUUGUAAACCGCUUUCGCCUGUGACGAAGCGUGAGUGACGGUAAUGGGUAAAGAAGCACCGGCGAACUACGU